rnacentral:rRNA from 1 species
GACGAACGCUGGCGGCGUGCUUAACACAUGCAAGUCGAACGGAAAGGCCCUGCUUUUGUGGGGUGCUCGAGUGGCGAACGGGUGAGUAACACGUGAGUAACCUGCCCUUGACUUUGGGAUAACUUCAGGAAACUGGGGCUAAUACCGGAUAGGAGCUCCUGCUGCAUGGUGGGGGUUGGAAAGUUUCGGCGGUUGGGGAUGGACUCGCGGCUUAUCAGCUUGUUGGUGGGGUAGUGGCUUACCAAGGCUUUGACGGGUAGCCGGCCUGAGGGGGUGACCGGCCACAUUGGGACUGAGAUACGACCCAGACUCCUACAGGAGGCAGCAGUGAAGAAUAUUACACAAUGGGCGGAAGCCUGAUGCAGCAACGCCGCGUGCGGGAUGACGGCCUUCGGGUUGUAAACCGCUUUCGCCUGUGACGAAGCGUGAGUGACGGUAAUGGGUAAAGAAGCACCGGCUAACUACGUG